AGGCCUAUAGCUCAGUUGGUAGAGCUCCUGUCUUACAAACAGGUUGUCGUCGGUUCGAAUCCGGCUGGGCCUA
rnacentral:tRNA from 1 species